GACGAACGCUGGCGGCGUGCUUAACACAUGCAAGUCGAACGGAAAGGCCCUGCUUGCAGGGUACUCGAGUGGCGAACGGGUGAGUAACACGUGGGUGAUCUGCCCUGCACUUCGGGAUAAGCCUGGGAAACCGGGUCUAAUACCGGAUAGGAGCCAUUUUUAGUGUGAUGGUUGGAAAGUUUUUUCGGUGUAGGAUGAGCUCGCGGCCUAUCAGCUUGUUGGUGGGGUAAUGGCCUACCAAGGCGGCGACGGGUAGCCGGCCUGAGAGGGUGGACGGCCACAUUGGGACUGGGAUACGGCCCAGACUCCUACGGGAGGCAGCAGUGGGGAAUAUUGCACAAUGGGCGCAAGCCUGAUGCAGCGACGCCGCGUGGGGGAUGACGGCCUUCGGGUUGUAAACUCCUUUCGCUAGGGACGAAGCUUUUUGUGACGGUACCUAGAUAAGAAGCACCGGCUAACUACGUG
rnacentral:rRNA from 1 species